UACGAAGGGGGCUAGCGUUGCUCGGAAUCACUGGGCGUAAAGGGUGCGUAGGCGGGUUUUUAAGUCAGGGGUGAAAUCCUGGAGCUCAACUCCAGAACUGCCUUUGAUACUGAAGAUCUUGAGUCCGGGAGAGGUGAGUGGAACUGCGAGUGUAGAGGUGAAAUUCGUAGAUAUUCGCAAGAACACCAGUGGCGAAGGCGGCUCACUGGCCCGGUACUGACGCUGAGGCGCGAAAGCGUGGGUAGCAAACGGG
rnacentral:rRNA from 1 species